GUGCUCGCUUCAGCAGCGCACUAAAAUUGGAACGAUACAGAGAAGAUUAGCAUGACCCCUGCGCAAAGAUGAUAUGCAAAUUCGUGAAGUGUUCCAUAUUUUU